rnacentral:misc_RNA from 1 species
AUGAGAUUAGCCCACACACACACACAAGCAUUAAUUACCUUUGGUGGUGAUAGUGGAAGUUAGGUUGUUGGUCCUUCUCAUCUUGUAAUAUCACAAAGCUCCAAAAAUUACCUCUAAUGAGUAAUACAGAGGUUUUUAUAUUCAGUGUAAUUUCACAGCACACUAAUUAAUUCUCAUUCCUGAUUUUGUUACAAGAAAGUGAAUCUAAUGGAAGUAUAGCUAAAAUGGACACCUAUAUAUUGUGCAUUUAUUAAAUUAAAUGGAUUCACUUAAUCAAUCACUCAAUCUAAAUAUACACUUAAUUUUAUAAGUGAGAAUUUUAAGAAUAAUUUUAUGCUUUUAAUAAAAACAAUUUAAUCUGAAUUAACAUAUAAGUUAGAGAAAUAAAAUAGAAAUGAAUUACUAGAGCUAUGAUCAUAAAAACUAGAAGAAAGAAAAAUUAGCCUCACCUCCCUCAUCAAUCAAAGCAGAUAAAUGUCAGAUCUGUGUUUGUGAUUACAAGAUUUGA